rnacentral:lncRNA from 1 species
UGCUAACAUCAGUAAAGUUAUUCAUCUCUAUAGCAGGAUUUGGAUCGUGGUCAUAGAGAGUGGACUCUGCUUUUCUGGCUGGCUAACCACACAGGCUCUGAGAGGAUGAUACUGAAUAUAAAGAGAACUCAAAUUGAUUGUUAUCCAUAUCAGUUCCCAACUCACCACAAAGCUGUUGCAAGGAAGCAGAAGUGCAUCAUCAAAGCAGGAGACUGGGAUGAUAGCAGGCUGUAUUCUCUGACAGACACCUAUGAAUGCAUUUGUUGGGAGUUGUUGGUACCUUUCCCACUCAGAGUUUACAAGCCUGAAACAAGAAUCAAGAUGAACCUUCCAAUAUAAUGCAAUCCACCAGCACAGCAUAAUAUCUUGAAACCUACAAGUAACAUCACAGACCUCAUAAAGAGAUCUUGCCAAGGGCCACAAGGAGCAGGAG